rnacentral:rRNA from 1 species
UACGAAGGGGGCUAGCGUUGCUCGGAAUCACUGGGCGUAAAGCGCACGUAGGCGGACUCUUAAGUCGGUGGUGAAAUCCUGGAGCUCAACUCCAGAACUGCCUUCGAUACUGGGAGUCUCGAGUUCGGGAGAGGUGAGUGGAACUGCGAGUGUAGAGGUGAAAUACGUAGAGAUCGGGAAGAACAUCAGUGGCGAAGGCGGCCUGCUGGGCUGUUGCUGACGCUGAGGCGCGACAGCGUGGGGAGCAAACAGG